GUAAUUUCUUUAACACUUUUUUUGUUACUACAGGAUUCCAUAUGUGUUAUUUCAUAGUUUUGGUGUCUUCACUAUUAUUCUACAAUGUAGAAAAUAGUAAAAAUAAAUGAAGAGAGAGAAGUUGUUACAGUCGCUUGAGCUAAUGGACCUGCUCAAACCUCCACCUCCUCCUCCACCAUUGACCUACCAGGCCUCCAAUACCAGCUGACAAAUGCCCCCUGUCACAACGAACACUACAAAUGAUCUUCUCUUUUUCUCUCUCCCUCCGUCUCUCUCGAUCUGUCUUCACAGGUGGCUCUGCCCAGCGUUCCUCACUCUGUUGCACCCACCUCCCUCUCACCAUUGCCUCAGGCCCUGGCCUCUAAUGUACUCCUCUGGGACCCCAGCAGAGUCCAGAGGCCCAGAGACCAAAGAACCAGGCCUGCCUGCUGCUCCACUCUUCAUGCUCACUUGAAUUGAAUAUCUGAGAAAAACCUGUGGCCCUCUCUACCAUUCCCCCCACCCCACCCCCUUCUUUCCCUCUCCAUCUUCUUUGGUGACUGUGCUAUUUUUGGCUCUCCUCUGGACAUAUGUCAUUGAGGAGUGCGUGCAGUGGCUGGAUAAUUAAGGCUACCUCAAAGCGGGCAUAAAAAAUUGGGAGAUAUUUAUUAGGCAGUACAUUAGCUGCUUGUCGUGAGUGCGUGUCAGGCCUGUAAAACAAAGUUUGAUUGAGAAAGUCAGAAAAUGUGGUAGUGUAACUACUGUUGUUGCCGUUGGUACUCCAGCAGAGACGUG
rnacentral:lncRNA from 1 species